GGUGCAAAAAGUAGAAGCAGUGCAUUUACAGCCCUGAUAAAGGAAGGCAGCUGGAGUGAGAGCUACCGGGCUCUUGAGCAGCUUCAGUGUAUACCUUUCCUCAGUUCUCACUACAAGCAGUUAAGCAUGUUAGCUCAGAAAAUCAGAGACACUUAACCCAGCUGAUGCCAAGCGACAGAGAAUAAUUAGAAGUAAACACCAGUCAGUACUAAAAAGUGAACCUUAUCCACAGAUCUAUAAAGCAGCAAGAACCAGAGGUGAAAAUAUACAAGAAAGAAAAGACUCUACAUUCUUGUUUACUGAACUACAGUUAUGACAUCAGUUCUGGGGAACAACAGAGCUUCUGGAGGUCCAAGUAGUCAACUAAAAUGCAAGUCCAAAAGGAGGAGAAGAAGGAGAUCAAAGAGGAAAGAAAAAGUAAGCAUAUUGUCAACCUUCAUCACGCCCUUCAAGUAUUUAAGUCCUGGUGCCACCAAUAUGGAAGAUGAAGACAAUUUAAGUACCAGCAGCGCAGAAGUAAAGGAAAACCGAAAUGUUGGCAACCUGGAGGAUCAUCCGAUAUCCUCUAAUGACAGGUCAAGAGUGGGCACACCUAGCAUUAAAAGGAAAAGACCAUUAGAGGAAGGCAACAAUGGCCAUUUCUGCAAACUCCAACUCAUCUGGAAGAAAGUCUCAUGGUCAGUGACACCAAAGAAUGCCCUGGUCCAGCUACAUGAACUUAAACCAGGUUUACAAUACAAAAUGGUUUCCCAGACAGGCCCAGUGCAUGCUCCAGUCUUUGCUGUUGCUGUAGAAGUAAAUGGGCUUACAUUUGAAGGUACAGGACCCACGAAAAAGAAGGCCAAAAUGCGAGCUGCAGAACUAGCGCUGAAAUCUUUUGUUCAGUUCCCAAAUGCAUGUCAAGCUCACUUUGCCAUGGGGAACUGUUUUAACCCAUCCACUGACUUUACAUCUGACCAGGCAGACUUUCCAGAUACUCUGUUCAAGGAGUUUGAACCGUCUGCACACAGCGAGGACUUUUCGGUCUAUAACCCAGUUAAUAAUGAAUUGCUUUCUACUGCUUAUCGGCAUGGGAGGUUACUCUGCCACACAUUGGAUUUAAUGGGCCACACUAAGCAAAACAAGCACAAGAUGGCAUCCACAGCUGAGAGCGAAAAGAACCCAGUGGUGUUGCUAAAUGAGCUGCGAUCGGGACUGAGGUACAUCUGCCUUUCAGAGACUGUGGAGAAGCAGCAUAUCAAGAGUUUUGUGAUGGCAGUGAGAGUGGAUGGGAGAACAUUUGAAGGCUCAGGACGUAGCAAGAAGCUGGCAAAAGGCCAAGCAGCACAAGCUGCGCUGCAGGCCCUCUUUAACAUUCGGCUGCCCGGUCACAUUCCCAGCAGGAGUAAAUGUAACCAUUUGCCACAGGAGUUUGCUGAUUCCAUAUAUCAAAUGGUUACACAGAAGUUUCAAGAGUUGACAGACAAUUUCACUUCCAUGCACGCACGCCACAAAACCCUUGCAGGAAUUGUGAUGACCAGAGGCUUGGACAUCAGGCAGGCUCAGGUUAUUGUGCUGUCAUCGGGUACCAAAUGUAUAAACGGAGAAUACAUUAACGAUCAAGGGCGCGUGGUCAACGACUGCCAUGCAGAAAUUCUGGCAAGGAGAGCAUUUGUUUAUUUCCUUUAUUCUCAGCUGGAGCUACACCUAAGCAAACGGCGAGAGGACUGGGAGCGAUCAGUCUUCAUGCGAUUAAAAGAGGGAGGCUACAGGCUGAAAGAAAACAUUCUGUUCCAUCUGUAUGUGAGCACUUCACCCUGCGGAGAUGCACGCCUCAACUCCCCCUACGAAAUCACAGCUGACUUGAACAGUACCAAGCACAUAGUAAGAAAGUACCGGGGGCAUCUACGAACGAAGAUUGAGUCUGGAGAAGGAACCAUCCCCGUCCGAUGCCAUAAUGCAGUUCAAACAUGGGACGGUGUGUUGUUGGGAGAGCAGCUAGUCACAAUGUCUUGCACUGACAAAAUUGCCAGAUGGAACGUUCUUGGGUUACAAGGCGCUCUCCUCAGUUACUUCAUCGAACCCACAUACUUGCACAGCAUUAUUGUGGGAAGCCUCUGUCACACUGGUCACCUUUCCAGGGUAAUGAGCCAUAGAAUAGAAGACAUUGGUCAGCUGCCAGCUUCAUACCGGCAUAAUCAGUUGCUCCUCAGUGGAGUAAGUAAUGCUGACUUACGGCAACCAGGAAAAUCUCCCAGUUUCAGUGUGAACUGGAUAGUGGGUAACACGGACCCUGAAGUGAUUAACGCCACAACAGGAAAGAGGACCUGUGGGGGCUCUUCGCGGCUCUGCAAGCACACGUUUUAUGUUCGGUGGGCAAAGCUUUGUGGAAAGCUGAGCACACGAAUGCCAAGCCAUGGAGACAUGCCAUCAGUGUACAGUGAGGCUAAACUGGUGGCUCAGACAUACCAAGCUGUCAAGCAGCAGCUGUUUAAAGCAUUUCAGAAAGCAGGUCUGGGCACCUGGGUCAAGAAACCUCCAGAGCAAGAUCAGUUUUUACUAACUGUAUAAAUCAUUCAACACCUUUGCUACAUGACCAGAUCAAAUCAACUGGAGAGAAGGAUGGGCAGAAUGUGUGGGCUGAUAGAAUGGAUGCAGUUCAAUAUUUAAUAACAACCUCCAUGAGAAUGUUUUCUUUUAAUUCUGUAUUGGAAAUACAUAAACAUAAGAUGUGUUUGAUUAAUGCACUGAACUUGACUUUAGGAAACUGCUUUUUCAUACUGAUCCCCUUACACGGAUCUACAUGCUCAGAUUAUAAAAUGUUUCUCACAAAGACGCUGCUGUUCAUUGUUUGUAGUACACAGGAUUAUUAUUUAUCCAAGAAGCAGCUGCAUUUCAGACUUGAGCAGGCCAUGCAUCUGACUUAAAAUACAGUUUAUCCAGUGCUCAAUUUGUAAUGAAAGAGGUGCUGAGGCUCAAGCAAUUAGAUGCCAGGACUCAAGCAAUUUUUUUUUACUUUCAUAACUGACCCAGCAAGUCCUGAGAUGCCGGGGCUAUGAACUGCCAAGCCUGGAAAUGCUGGGGCUCAGUGCUGGCACAGACUAAGCACUGAGUUUAUCUUCCCCCCAUACCAUCAGAGCAAUAAUGUUGCUGAAUGAUGGAAGAUACUUUAGUUAGUGAAUACAUGAAAAUACCUUCAUACCCACAGUGUGACAGAGAGUCACAGGACAAGCAUAUUCAUCCACAAGGAGUUGCGUAUCCUCUAUGCAAAAAUUGUUCUGUCAGCUGCUUAAUUUUAAUACAGGGAUUCUUUUAAACUGUUUCCUGUUUUCGGAUCUGAGCAUAGUACUGGGAGCCAGGAUUUCCUGCUUUCUAAACCUGACUCUGACACUGACUCCUUUUGUGUCCUGCAGCAAAUCACAUAGGACCAAAUUUUCACCCAUAGUCCUAAGUUUUUGGUGCCUCAUCUUUUGGAAGCUGCAAACUAAACAGAGUUAGGGCCUGAUUUUUCAGAGGUGCUGAGUCCCACAAUUCCAGAUGAAGUCAAUGGGAGCUGAAGCUCCUCUGCACCUCUGAAAAAUCAACUAUUGAAUAUUUGAUAUUGGAUACCCACAAAAACCUCAGAUACUCACUUUUGAAAUUUGGUCGUUCACUGCCUCAAUUUUUCCAUCUGUGAAAUGGGGAGCUUGUGGUAAUAAUUUAUUUAAUUAAUGGUUGGUUAUAAAUCACUGUAUAAAUAAGACUCUGUCACACUUAUAUUGAAUAGUACUUCACUCUGUAGAUAGUCCCACUGAAACCAUACAAUGGACAUGACUACUUCCAGAGUAAGGCUCUACACAGUGUGAGAAAGGUAGGCUUGCCAGUUUUGGUUUGAUGUAUUCCUGGAGGUUUCGUCAUAUGACAUAAUCUUUAAUUAAAGAUGAAUCUUUAAUUCCUAGAGACUCCUAAAGGAUUUUCAGAUUCUGGUCCUAUGUAAGUACUAAAUAGUCUUAUUAAAUUGACCACACAUUCAUUCGCAGUCUGAAAUGCAGAUUGUUUUCUAUUAUAAGAAGAAUAGCUUUUUGCUGAAACAUAUCUUCAAAAGGAAGGACUGAGUCUGUUAUUAUUGCCCUAUGAAUCAUUUCACUUCAUCAGAAUGUAAGGCAUGGGAGAUCUAAACGUCCAUAAUCCAACUAAACCCAGGGUUGAGAGUUCAAUCCUUAAGGAGGCCAUUUGGGGAUUGCUCCUGCUUUGAGCAGGGAGUUGGACUAGAUGAUCUCCUGAGGUCCCUUCCAACCCUAAUAAUCUAAGAUAAGAUUUAACAGCAGAACUAACUGUCAUACACACUGUAUUUUUUUAUUUAUUUUGUUUGUUUGUUUUUUUAAAUGACAGGAUUUGCAGGUAUAUAACAACUUUUCUUUUUAUUCCAGUGAUUCUCUUUAAAUCUGUAUAUAACAUGCUGCUACUGAUUUGUGAUAAUUGUCUAGAUAUUUCACCAGAACAGUCUAGAUGAGUUACUUUUCAAACAAAUACAUAGCUCAUAUUUUUUCCAUGUAAUUUCCUUUACACAGGAAACUGUUCCUAUCAAUAAAGGUAGAUGCUCUUUGUAUAGCGUUUAUCAUAUUUGGAGAGCCAUAUACCGUAAAUACAUUGUUUAUUGAUGCCCACAAUAGACUAGCUACAGUAUUUUGAUGAGAUCUUAUUUUUAGAUUGUAAACUACAAGAUGUAGCUAUAGUGUCUUGUAUAAAAAUUAUUGUGAUAAAUUAGAAUUUUUAAAUUAGAUAAAGCAGAGCUCUCCCCUUAUGAAAACCUUUCCAAUAAAAUAAUACAUUCCAUAUUAACUACCAAAAAAGUCCUUAGAGUAGAUAUAUUUAAUAACCUGAAGUUGUUUCAAUAAGUUAGGGGCAAGAAGAUACUUUGUGGUAACCACUUUGUUAAUAUGACCCCUUCCAGGGUUACCUUUAACAUUUCAAAAUAAUGUUACGUUCCUUCUGGAGAUUCCAUCUGUACUUCCAAAUGUCAAACAUUCCCGUGUUACCUUCCCAUCUGGCUUUGGCCCUAGCUCCCGCUGGUGUUGAUGGAAGAUGUCUCCAUUGACAUCAAGGAGAGCAGGAUCUGGCCCACAGCCUGCCAGCUUUGUGUUAGUGCAGAGGGAAGCCGCUUUGUGAAGGUAGCAGGGUACAGGUCUAUGUAGUGAGUUACACACAGAGCUUGUGGCUGCUACGUAAGCAGGUAUGAAUGGGAGGAGGGUGGGCAAAGGGAGUCCCCUUGUCCCCAUGCAUGGGCUCCUCCAGGGCCAGGCCCCAACUACACAGUGGCUGCACUUGACGAAGCAUAGGGUCUGCUUCCUCCUUUAGUCCCAACGGCCCAAUACACUCCAAUGCGGGUGGGACCAUGGCCCUGCCUCAGCACGGCAUGGGGCUGGUCUGUAGAUGGGAGCAUGCAGCACUUCUUGAAGGUAUAUAGCCCCCAGUGGCCCAGGGAACUCAGGGGAGAAUUCUAGCACCCUGAGACAGAAUUGCCCUCCAAGCUCCCCCCACCCCUUAGUCUGAGCUGAGCACAUUUGCACAACGGAGUCAGUGCACUAGCAGGGUUCAAAUCCGGCUGCCAGCAUUUGAAAGGGCCCAGUGCUGUUGAGUCUGACCUCCCCAGCAUGAAGAAUACUGGGGCUCUGUCAUUUAAACUGACUCCCUCCUCACGAAGGGUACUGGUAACCCCUUCUUGAACUACUGGCUCUCUCUACGUUAACCCAGCCUAGCCACACGAGAGACAUCAAGGCUCCUUCUUAAACCAGCUGGGUUCAGCCCCAGCAUGUUUCCAACCUUAUGGAUACAUAAGGGCUGCAGGGUCUGGUAUCAGAGCUAACACGACCACAAACUGAAGGAGCUAGUUAUUUUAAGGAUGACAAGACAGGUGGGAUGGACUGAUCAGGCCUUUGUUGCAACAAAUACAUUUUAAAAAUCCUGGAUUCGAUUGCCAGACCUAAUCGAGGCAGUGAGGACCGAGCUUGAACCUGUCAUAAGUAGACAUAUGAUACGUCCAUUGAAGGUAGUGGAGUCACAGCUCCUCACCCCAGUGUUGACUCUGGGCCAAGCUGUCUACUGUUCCUCAUUAUAUGCAUCAACACAGUGUGCACCACAUCCCAGCAGCACAAAUUACCAACAUGCAGCAUUUCCUGAAGCAAAGGAAAACUUUCUCAAUAGUAAUUCUUAAGUGAUGAUUAUGUACAUAACACGCAUGAGUGAAUGGCAAUACUGUACUAAUGGAUGUAAAUUUGUAAUAUUUGUAAAAAAAAGACAACAGAAGAAAAUAAAUCUGAAUUUACAUAUGUGAAUUUGCUGCUAAGUUCUGUAAAUUGCACUUCAGUGAUACCUGAUAAGUGAAUGUUUCUGUUAA